ACGAAGGGUGCAAGCGUUACUCGGAAUUACUGGGCGUAAAGCGUGCGUAGGCGGUUUGUUAAGUCUGUCGUGAAAGCCCCGGGCUCAACCUGGGAAUGGCGAUGGAAACUGGCGAGCUAGAGUACGGUAGAGGAGAGUGGAAUUCCCGGUGUAGCAGUGAAAUGCGUAGAGAUCGGGAGGAACAUCAGUUGCGAAGGCGGCUCUCUGGACCAGUACUGACGCUGAGGCACGAAAGCGUGGGGAGCAAACAGGAUUAGAUACCCUGGUAGUCCACGCCCUAAACGAUGCGAACUGGACGUUGGGAGCAAUUAGGCUCUCAGUGUCGAAGCUAACGCGUUAAGUUCGCCGCCUGGGGAGUACGGUCGCAAGACUG
rnacentral:rRNA from 1 species